CGGCAACAGCUCAAAUUUGAAAUCUGGCCCUAGGCCCGAGUUGUAAUUUGCAGAGGAUGCUUUUGGUGAGGUGCCUUCCGAGUUCCCUGGAACGGGACGCCAUAGAGGG
rnacentral:rRNA from 1 species